rnacentral:sRNA from 1 species
ACAACCAAGGGAGAAAACUAUUCUGUCAAAGAGACGGUGCCAAAAGGCAGAAACAAAGGAGCUGAUGGCAAAGAAGGUAGCUGUGAUUGGAGCUGGGGUCAGUGGCCUGAUUUCUCUGAAGUGCUGUGUGGAUGAGGGACUUGAGCCCACUUGCUUUGAGAGAACUGAAGAUAUUGGAGGAGUGUGGAGGUUCAAAGUAAGUGAGAUUUUCUUGGGUCUUGAACAGGUUGUGUUGUUAUUUCAGGGUGAAUCACAGUUACUGAUGGGUCAUAUUGAGAAAUUUAUUAAACAACACUGAUCAGAUUUUAUUUCUAUUUAUUGAUGUGGCCAUAAUGGAACUGAAGUCAUAGGCUGGCAUCUCUCCCCCAGUCAACACUAACCCAACCCAGGUAGCUGACCCAGGCAUGUAAAAGAUCUCUUCUUUUGGAUUCAGCAAUGGUCUUACAGCCCAUACUUUUGUCAUUCUUUAAUACGCUAAUAUUAGAGAACGUUUUACAAAAAUAGAAGUAACAGGGAUUCUUCUCAAGAUAUCACUUCUGUUUCAAUUAUUAAACCAAAUGCUUCUUUAGAGACCAUGCUCUUAUCAUUACUAUUUUUCUCUGACAAAUGAAGCAUGUUUGUUUACUGAGCUUUAUCAAUGACAUUCUAGUAUAACUGCUGUGAAACUCUUUGUUAAAUGUUUUAUUAAAUUUAUUCUAUUAAUCAAACCAAAAUA